rnacentral:lncRNA from 1 species
AAGCACUUCCCAAAUUAUUUUUGACUAGCAGACACUUAUGCUAAGAAAUAUUAUGCACAAUCAAUGUUCUUUCAGAAAUACUUGGGAAACACUUUCCUAGAUGACAAUGAGCUAAUACAUAUAAAGAGCUUGAAAAAAAAAUAGUGUGACCCAAGAAUUAAACUCAGUCAAGAUGUUCAUGCAUGAAGAAACUAGAGAUAAUAAGUUGUACAAUAGGUCUCAGAAAGUAUACCAUACGUAUUUCCUCUAAAAUGAUUACUCAAAGAUAUUCCUUCUAGUGCUAUUUCUAUUUGAAAUAAUAAUAAAGAAAAUAUGAGAGAGAGAGCAAGAGAGAGAGAGAGGAAUGAUAAAGCAAAUACAAUAGAUGUACCUGGAUAAAGAGUUUAUGGAUGUUCUUUUUCUUCUUUAUGAAACCUUUUAUAAGUUUAAAAUUACCUCAGAAAAGAUUUUUAAAGUAAAGACAUUUAAGGCUAUAUAUUUUCAUCAGAAUAUAGUUUCAAUUGAGUCUUACAGGUUUUGGUAUGAAAUGUUGCCAUUUUUUUUAAAUUACUUUCUAGAUAAUUCAUACUUUCUUUGAUGCAGCUAUUAUUGAGAAGGACAUUUUAUAAUGUCUGAGUAGUUAACAUAUUUUCAUUAUUUUUAUAUUGGUGUGUAGUCAGAGAGUGUGGCUUAUAAAAUUUCUACUUUUAGAAUUUUAUUAAAGUUUUCUUUUUGGUUGACUACAUGAUUGAUUUUUAGAAAUACUUUAGUGUUCAAGAAAAAAAUGUUAUUUCUACUUGUAGAAGUAUGAGUUUUCUAUUUAUGUCUUAAUUUGAAUUAUUGUUGUUGGUUGUAGUUGGUUGUAGUCAUAUUCGCUAGGUCUUUUUUGGCUAUAUUUUGCUUCAUUUGCUCCCAGGUUUAUAGUUUCUGAAAAGAGCAUAUUAAAAUAUCUCACAAAGUUGUAUUUUAAAAAUCAAAUUCUCUUUGUAUUUCUAUUAGUUUUCGCCUUGUAUUUAUCUGCAAUAUUUUGAAGUGCAGAAGGUUUUGCUACUUUAUCCUGCUUAAUGUUUUGAUUUUAAAUGCACAUUUGUGAUAUUCUGCUUUCAUUUUGUUUGAAUUUGCCUGGUUUCCCUUUAUUUUAACUCUUUCCCUAUUUCUUUGUUUUAAGUGUGUUUGUUUUUUAAAUGAAAUUUAAUGGAGGAAUUCAGUCUAUCUGUAUUUAGGGUAAUAAGAAAUACCAGUGUAAUUUUAUGUUUUCUAUGUGUUUUACUUUGCUAUGGCUUUGCUCUUUGCUUUAAUCAAUCAAUUAGCUUGCUUGAACCAAGUUUUUAUUCAUUCAUUUUUUUCUUUUUCGAAGGAAAUGUUAAUUUUGAAGCAUUUCUCUGCUUUCUAACUCUGCAAAUGGUUACUUUUUUUCAUCCCAAGAAUCAUCAUUACAUAUAUUACCUCUUAUAGUUGAAUAUGAUAGUAAUUAUCAACUUGUUUCCACCAAAUUGCUUUAUUUACUUAUGCCUCUCUCCUAAUAGCAAAAUAAAAUGAAAUAUUUAGAUAGAUUUUGUUUCUUUACUCUCAACUUUCUCUUUAUUUUUCAUUUCUAAGUUUCACUCCAGUGACUUAAAAUAUUUAGUUAAAGCUGUUAUUAGGUUUAGCUCUACUAUUUUCUGUUCUAAAAUUCCUCACUUAAAACUUUUGACAAAAUCCCCAGUCAUACUAUUUAUUUACAUAUACAUACAUUCAUGCAUAUACACAAAUUUUAAAAAUAUUUAACAACUUAGCAGAAUGGUUGCCAACCACGAAUCAACAUGGUUACCAGUGUUGCUCACCAGCAUUUUUCUAUUUUUAAUUUUUCUGCUGGAGCUGCCAUUUGGCUAGCAUAGUUUCUCAAGUAUGUUCCUCGGAUAAGCUAUGUGGGUGACACCUUCAGUAUCCUUGCAGAUCUGCAAAUAUCUUUAUUUAUCCCAUAGGUGUUAUUCUUCUAACUAGUUAUUUGUGAUGGAAAAGUUUGGUUCUAGUCUGGUCUCUAUUCUCCCUUUUUUAUCUAAUCUGUCAGUUGCAAGGGAAAAGAUAGUAAUUACACAGUGUGGAAACUGAAACUCAGUUUUGUUUUAUUUUUUAAACCAAGCUAUGUCAGAGUGUCUAUUUCUUUAGUCAGUUGUGUCUAGGGGCCUGGUGGGUGGGGUGUGGGGGGUAUGGGGAGAUGUUGGUCAGAGUACACAAUUUCAGUUAUGUAGGAUUAAUACAUUCUGGAGAUCUAUUAUACAGCAUGGUAACUAUAGACAAUAAUACAGUAUUGUAUCCUUGAAAUUUGCUAAGAGCAUAGAUCUUAGGUGUUGUUACCACAAAAAAUUAUAACCAUGUGAGUGAUGGAUACAUUAGGUAUAUUGUGGCAAUCAUUUCACAAGGUUAUGUAAAUCGAAACAUCACACUGUACACCUUAGAUAUAUAUAAUUUUUAUUUGUCAAUUAUAGUUCAAUAAACUGGAAAAAAUUGUGUCUGGGACUUGAAAAUCCCUUUUAAUUUUGAAAUUUAUCUUUCUAGACAUAAAAACACUCUUUAUGAUUUCUUUAAUUUUUAUGAUGAUUUUAUUUAUUCCUUUCUAUCCUUCUGGAACUCACAUUACUUGCCAGCUAGGUCUCCUGUACCUGUCCUCCUAGAGUCUUCUAUCUUUUCCCUUCAUGGUUUUUGUCUUUGUGAAUUUGUUGCUCUGCUGUGAGGAAUUUCUUGUUCAGGCUACUAAAUGUGUUUUCAGAAAAAAACUAUCUCUUCUUUCAGUUAAUGAGUUAAAAGUCUCAAUGAGAAAGCUGCAUUUUUAGACCCAGAAAGUCCUUUUUAUUCUCUAAUGGGAUCUCUUUAAGAGUUUUCCUUCCAGCUGUUUAGCUUUCACAUUUGACUCUGCCAAUGUCCUGCUCCAGUGGCGCCCCUGCUAUUCAGGCUCUGCUUUGUCUGCUCUGUUCUGGUUACUGAGCACUGGUUAAAAUGGUUAUUUUUUUCUUUAGCUUGUUCAUGAUGUCGUUGGGUCGACUGUUGGGUAAGGCCUAGGAGGUUCUGGUCUCGUUAAGCAGUGGCGAACAAAAUGGCCAGGCUCUGUUCUUCUCCUAAGCAGAGGGAGGGAGCUUCUGACCAAAUCUCUUCCCAGAUCCAAGGGGCAUCCUCUCCACUGCAGGGACCAGGAGUAUUUGUCCUACUUCCUAGUCUCCUGCAGGUCCUCUAAGGCCAGGAGGAUUGGCUGGCCCUCCUAGGACCACACACGCUGGGCCCCUUCAGGUGCACAAGCCGUCCUUUACCUGGUGGCCUCAAAUGCUCCCUCCAGACUCCUCCAGCCUCACUAACCUGCUGUUGCCCUUCUCCAGAAAGGGAGAGAGGAGAAGGGAGUUAGUCUUUUAUCCAGAGGCUACCUCCCUAGAGUCUCAGUCUCAAUAUAUUAUAUUUUAGGGCUUAAAAGAGUCAUUAAAGUUUCCAGCAUUGCCAGAAGGAAAAGGGAGGUAGGAAUAAAAGAAAGCUCUGACAGUUCUGCUUGGCUAGGGAAGACUAUAUAUGCUGUGAAUUUAUGCACAAGCGUGAAUGUGUAUCUAUAGUAGUUGUAGGGCUGUAUCUAAGCCAUGCAAGGACCUGCUGUGACUUCAACUCGUCCCAGCCCUCCCAACAAACAAAGCCACUUGUUCCUUGAAGGGCUCAGUUUUCUUCAGGUCUUGAGAACAGUACUUCUACGAGGCAGCCAAUUAGCCCACAUUCAGGAGCUCAGGGGCUUAAUCAGAUUCUGCUUCCGGGAACCUGACUUCUGCUCUGAUCCUGGCAUCAGCCCAUUCCUCCCUCAGUCCCCCCAGGGUUCAGCCUUGUUCCUCCUCUUACCUGUUCCCCUGCAUAUCAUUCAGGGUUCAGUCAGAGAAGCAGAGCCACUAGCAGAAUGUAUACAAUAAGAGAAUGACUACAGGGAUUCCACCUUAUAUAACACGGGAACUGGUCAAAGUGAGGCUAUUACUUCUGUGUCUUACACUGGAGCCUAAAGUCAGCAGGGCAGGCAGUUGGGAAGGAAUGAUGGAAAGGAGGUAUGGAAUCCACGUGGAACCCAAGGCUCCAACUUUGAUGAUGGGAUGACUUAGAGGAGUUUUGCCUUUCCUGGUGGAGUGAAACCCUCAACUCACCCAGGGGUCAGGAAAUAGAAGAGAUAGGACCAGCAGGAGCUGUGGCCUGCAGGUCUGGAUGCUGCCCCAUGCCACCCAGGUGAGCUAGCAGGAAAGCAGCAAGGUAUGUGAGGCCUUGUGCCCUGCCUUCUGAACCAAAAGAAGAAGGUUACUUCAUUUGUACCUUCAAAAACUCCUGCAAAAUGUUCCUGUGACCAGAGCUAACCUGGAAUUAAGCAGAGAAGGGAAUUCCAGGAAACACAGUUUGAGCUCAGCUAAACUGACAUUAUAAACGUCCACAGCUUCGAGGCUGCAGUUCAGUCACUGACGCAUGACCAUGGGCUGCCUGGCGGACUCAAAGCUCCUCACCUGGCCCUGUGCCUGCCCACAUUAAUGGGAGCCUCUUCCCCACAGGCACCAGGCAUUCCCUGCUUGGCCCUCAUUCCCAGGGCAUGUGAAGCUGUCUCUCCUGUCAUGACCUGGCUCUGAAAAACCAGAUCUGACUCCUGCUGGAAGUCAAAGGGAUUUAUGGAUGAUUCUUGGUGGUAUCGGGGCCACAUGGAGCAAGGCUUUCCUUCUCUGUUCCAUAUUCAUAGGCAGGCUUAGGAAGCUAAAUCUAUGUGUGAGGAGUCUCUCUGAGAUCCUGUAGAGCUCAAGGCCUAGGAGCCCUUACCCGAGAGACUGGGUGCAACAUCAGCCUGGCCAAGGAGGCCCUCCUUUCCUCCCAGCCUCAUCUGGGAAGGAGAAAUGUAGAUUAUUCCUGGUGUUUCCAGAAUACUGGACAUGACAAAGGGCCUGGUCCAAACCCUUCAUUGUUCAUAUAGGGACACUGAGUCUCAGAAAGUGACAGGAACUAGCCCAGGAAACAGAACAGCACUAAGAGCAACAUCUGGAAGACGACACCUGGCUUCAUGCCUCUUCCUUAACCUUUUUACCCUUGAUUUUAUCCAACAUUAAAUGGAGGAAAACAAUAGUGCCUAACUGAAUGGACUGUUAUGUAGGUUAAAUGACAGCUUAAGUGACCAGCACCAAAUAAGAGCUCAAUAAAAUAUAUUAUUGUAUGUGGAUAUUUCCCCCACAGCCAGAGCCCUCCAGUCCAAGGAAGCAGGCUAUGGGGAACUUUCUCUAAUCCCAGGUGGUUCUGCAUCUCAGCUACCUCUGCACAACUGGCUGUUGUCAGUUCUCUAAGACAUGCAUCAUUUUGCCUUGCACUUGAGUUAGCCACUGGCUUGUCCAUCUUCUUACAAAGCUGGGACUCACUGAGGGUCCCCAGGGGCUUGGUUUAUUUCAUCUCUCCCAAGGACACAAUCUGGCACAGACUAGGCCCUUUAGGAGAGCUUUGAAUGAAUGGAUGUCUUCAAUUCCUAGAACUUCUGAUUUGGAGGGACUUAGAGGUUGCCUAACCCAAUUCUCCACCUGAUUUUAGGUAUUUCUUUUCAGCUCAUUCAGCAGAUACACUUAUAAUCUCUGCUUUCAUACUUCCAGUGCUAGGAGACUCACUAUUGCUUAGGGCAGCCCAUUUUAUCUUUUAAAAAAGCUCUAUUUUUAGAACUUUCUAAUUUUAUUCAAUACACUUCUUUUCCACCAUUUGCAUCAACCUUUGGUUGGAGACGGCAGAAACACGCAGGGAAAGAACUGGCAAAUAAGUAUUGUUUUGGGUUUAUGACUGAGGUUACAAAGCAGUGAAAAGGGUGACAGAACACACAGUAUAUAUAACUUUUAUAAGCUUUGCUCAACUAGGUAGAAAUGAGCUCUCAGAAAUGUCUAUACUUUUCUCCCUCCAGUAUUUACUGGAGAAUCCUUAUAUGGUUUUUAUUUACAAAUCCAGACAGGAGUUUAUAGAGGGCUUGAAGGCAAGAGUUUAUAGAGGGUUUUAAGACAGAUGUUUAUAGAGAACUUGAAUAUUUGUUUGCAUGCCAAUCUUCUAAGUUAUUUUUCUACUCCACAAUUUUGGGAAGUCAAGUUGUCCAAGUUCUAAGGGGACUUUUGAAAGCCUCAGUAAGAAAGGGGUUGGGCUUUCAUCUCCUAGGAUAGUGUUGCUGCUUCUGAAAGGGAAGCUGGGAUUUUAGGACAGAUGCCUCCCAGCCACUGAGCAUGCUCUCUGGAGUUGAGAUAGAACAUCAACGCCCAUGGAUUAAUCUGAAAUUCACUCAGG